UACGUAGGGGGCUAGCGUUGUCCGGAUUUAUUGGGCGUAAGGAGCGUGUAGGCGGCCUGGUAGGUCUGCUGUGAAAACUCGAGGCUCAACCUCGAGAUGUCGGCGGAAACCAUCUGGCUAGAGUCCGGAAGAGGAGAGUGGAAUUCCUGGUGUAGCGGUGAAAUGCGCAGAUAUCAGGAAGAACACCUAUGGCGAAGGCAGCUCUCUGGGACGGUACUGACGCUGAGACGCGAAAGCGUGGGGAGCGAACAGG
rnacentral:rRNA from 1 species